GAGAGCAAAAUCAUAUAUAAACAGAAAUUAAAUUACAGCCAAAAGACAGGAAAUGUAAGAAAUGUGAACCACUUAACCGAGAAUAUAAAACCAGCAUAAGAUUACAUGUUUCGAUAUUGAUGUUGGAGAGUAUUUCAAAUUUGAUGUUGUUUAGCACACAACGAGACCCAAGCAGUAAAAAGAACAAAUGCUGAAAAUAAUGAUGGGUACCAAAUUUCUAAUUACUGACACUAGAACAGUAUACUAAAGACAAAAGAUAAGGCAGUAGUGUUGCAGAGCAUUAUAAUCAUUCAUGUCCAAGAAUCUCAGAAAGAGAAAAACAGUGAAUGAGAAUGAGAAGUUGAGG